rnacentral:tRNA from 2 species
GAUCGUGUAGCUCAGCCUGGUUAGAGCGCCGUGCUGAUAACGCGGAGGUCCUCGGUUCAAAUCCGAGCACGAUCA